rnacentral:rRNA from 1 species
GGGUUGUGAGGUUAAGCGACUAAGCGUACACGGUGGAUGCCCUGGCAGUCAGAGGCGAUGAAGGACGUGCUAAUCUGCGAUAAGCGUCGGUAAGGUGAUAUGAACCGUUAUAACCGGCGAUUUCCGAAUGGGGAAACCCAGUGUGUUUCGACACACUAUCAUUAACUGAAUCCAUAGGUUAAUGAGGCGAACCGGGGGAACUGAAACAUCUAAGUACCCCGAGGAAAAGAAAUCAACCGAGAUUCCCCCAGUAGCGGCGAGCGAACGGGGAGGAGCCCAGAGCCUGAAUCAGUGUGUGUGUUAGUGGAAGCGUCUGGAAAGGCGCGCGAUACAGGGUGACAGCCCCGUACACAAAAAUGCACAUACUGUGAGCUCGAUGAGUAGGGCGGGACACGUGGUAUCCUGUCUGAAUAUGGGGGACCAUCCUCCAAGGCUAAAUACUCCUGACUGACCGAUAGUGAACCAGUACCGUGAGGGAAAGGCGAAAAGAACCCCGGCGAGGGGAGUGAAAAAGAACCUGAAACCGUGUACGUACAAGCAGUGGGAGCCUCUUUAUGGGGUGACUGCGUACCUUUUGUAUAAUGGGUCAGCGACUUAUAUUCUGUAGCAAGGUUAACCGAAUAGGGGAGCCGAAGGGAAACCGAGUCUUAACUGGGCGUUAAGUUGCAGGGUAUAGACCCGAAACCCGGUGAUCUAGCCAUGGGCAGGUUGAAGGUUGGGUAACACUAACUGGAGGACCGAACCGACUAAUGUUGAAAAAUUAGCGGAUGACUUGUGGCUGGGGGUGAAAGGCCAAUCAAACCGGGAGAUAGCUGGUUCUCCCCGAAAGCUAUUUAGGUAGCGCCUCGUGAAUUCAUCUCCGGGGGUAGAGCACUGUUUCGGCAAGGGGGUCAUCCCGACUUACCAACCCGAUGCAAACUGCGAAUACCGGAGAAUGUUAUCACGGGAGACACACGGCGGGUGCUAACGUCCGUCGUGAAGAGGGAAACAACCCAGACCGCCAGCUAAGGUCCCAAAGUCAUGGUUAAGUGGGAAACGAUGUGGGAAGGCCCAGACAGCCAGGAUGUUGGCUUAGAAGCAGCCAUCAUUUAAAGAAAGCGUAAUAGCUCACUGGUCGAGUCGGCCUGCGCGGAAGAUGUAACGGGGCUAAACCAUGCACCGAAGCUGCGGCAGCGACGCUUAUGCGUUGUUGGGUAGGGGAGCGUUCUGUAAGCCUGCGAAGGUGUGCUGUGAGGCAUGCUGGAGGUAUCAGAAGUGCGAAUGCUGACAUAAGUAACGAUAAAGCGGGUGAAAAGCCCGCUCGCCGGAAGACCAAGGGUUCCUGUCCAACGUUAAUCGGGGCAGGGUGAGUCGACCCCUAAGGCGAGGCCGAAAGGCGUAGUCGAUGGGAAACAGGUUAAUAUUCCUGUACUUGGUGUUACUGCGAAGGGGGGACGGAGAAGGCUAUGUUGGCCGGGCGACGGUUGUCCCGGUUUAAGCGUGUAGGCUGGUUUUCCAGGCAAAUCCGGAAAAUCAAGGCUGAGGCGUGAUGACGAGGCACUACGGUGCUGAAGCAACAAAUGCCCUGCUUCCAGGAAAAGCCUCUAAGCAUCAGGUAACAUCAAAUCGUACCCCAAACCGACACAGGUGGUCAGGUAGAGAAUACCAAGGCGCUUGAGAGAACUCGGGUGAAGGAACUAGGCAAAAUGGUGCCGUAACUUCGGGAGAAGGCACGCUGAUAUGUAGGUGAAGCGACUUGCUCGUGGAGCUGAAAUCAGUCGAAGAUACCAGCUGGCUGCAACUGUUUAUUAAAAACACAGCACUGUGCAAACACGAAAGUGGACGUAUACGGUGUGACGCCUGCCCGGUGCCGGAAGGUUAAUUGAUGGGGUUAGCGGUAACGCGAAGCUCUUGAUCGAAGCCCCGGUAAACGGCGGCCGUAACUAUAACGGUCCUAAGGUAGCGAAAUUCCUUGUCGGGUAAGUUCCGACCUGCACGAAUGGCGUAAUGAUGGCCAGGCUGUCUCCACCCGAGACUCAGUGAAAUUGAACUCGCUGUGAAGAUGCAGUGUACCCGCGGCAAGACGGAAAGACCCCGUGAACCUUUACUAUAGCUUGACACUGAACAUUGAGCCUUGAUGUGUAGGAUAGGUGGGAGGCUUUGAAGUGUGGACGCCAGUCUGCAUGGAGCCGACCUUGAAAUACCACCCUUUAAUGUUUGAUGUUCUAACGUUGGCCCCUGAUCGGGGUUGCGGACAGUGUCUGGUGGGUAGUUUGACUGGGGCGGUCUCCUCCUAAAGAGUAACGGAGGAGCACGAAGGUUGGCUAAUCCUGGUCGGACAUCAGGAGGUUAGUGCAAUGGCAUAAGCCAGCUUGACUGCGAGCGUGACGGCGCGAGCAGGUGCGAAAGCAGGUCAUAGUGAUCCGGUGGUUCUGAAUGGAAGGGCCAUCGCUCAACGGAUAAAAGGUACUCCGGGGAUAACAGGCUGAUACCGCCCAAGAGUUCAUAUCGACGGCGGUGUUUGGCACCUCGAUGUCGGCUCAUCACAUCCUGGGGCUGAAGUAGGUCCCAAGGGUAUGGCUGUUCGCCAUUUAAAGUGGUACGCGAGCUGGGUUUAGAACGUCGUGAGACAGUUCGGUCCCUAUCUGCCGUGGGCGCUGGAGAACUGAGGGGGGCUGCUCCUAGUACGAGAGGACCGGAGUGGACGCAUCACUGGUGUUCGGGUUGUCAUGCCAAUGGCACUGCCCGGUAGCUAAAUGCGGAAGAGAUAAGUGCUGAAAGCAUCUAAGCACGAAACUUGCCCCGAGAUGAGUUCUCCCUGAGACUUUAAGUCUCCUGAAGGAACGUUGAAGACGACGACGUUGAUAGGCCGGGUGUGUAAGCGCAGCGAUGCGUUGAGCUAACCGGUACUAAUGAACCGUGAGGCUUAACCUUACAACGCCGAAG